rnacentral:rRNA from 1 species
CGAAUCUCGAAAGCCUGUCUCAGUUCGGAUUGGAGGCUGAAACCCGCCUCCAUGAAGUUGGAUUCGCUAGUAAUCGCGCAUCAGCCAUGGCGCGGUGAAUACGUUCCCGGGCCUUGUACACACCGCCCGUCAAGCCAUGGAAGCUGGGGGUGCCUGAAGUUCGUGACCGGAAGGAGCGACCUAGGGCAAAACCGGUGACUGGGGCUAAGUCGUAACAAGGUACC